GUGCUGGAGGCACUGGGAGCAUCUGUUGCAGGCCUUUCUCUGGGUGCCUGGUGUCACUGGUCAUCCUUGGCACUUCUUUGCUGGCCAAGGAUGCAUCACUGUGACCCUCGUCUUUACAGGGCUUCACGCUGUGUCUGUCCACGCGCGGAUGUCGUCUUGUAAGGACACCAGCCACACCGAUGAGAGGCCAUCUUCCUCCACUUUGACCUCAUCUUAACUAAUUACAUCUGCAACUGUCCUAUUUCCAAAUAAGGUCACGUUCUAGGGUAGCGGAGAGUAGGACUUCAACACAGCUUUUUUUGAGGGAAGACGCAAUUCAACCCACAGCUCCCCCAAAUGCGUUAUUCACUCUGUUCUGUGCCCUGUGGCAUGACCCUGUGGCCUGCCCUCUUUGCUGUGCUCUGGUGCUUUAGCCUCGGUUAGAAUUCCUGCAGGAGUUUCCCAGGAGACCAGAAGACGCAGACAAAAGUUGAAGAACCCUGAGGCACUGCUCUAGCCACGGUGUAAAAGCAUUGAGCCAGCUCAUAUGGAAGACCCAGUCAAGUCACCAGUAUCUGCAUUUGUGCUUGUUAACGUUCGUGGCUCAGGAGGCCUACCUUCUGAUUAAGUGUUCUCAUGUAAAAUCAUCCAAAUACUCCCUAUUAAUUUUAUUUUGAUAUAUGGAUGAAUAAUAAAAGAUUA
rnacentral:lncRNA from 1 species